rnacentral:rRNA from 1 species
GGGUCAGUAGGUUGGUCGUGCCACCGGUACGUACUGGACACACUGAUUCCUCCUUCCUGAAGAACCGUAAUGCCAUUAAUUUGGUGUUGCGGGGAAACAGGACUGUUACUUUGAAAAAAUUAGAGUGUUUAAAGCAAGCUAACGCUUGAAUACAUUAGCAUGGAAUAAUGAAAUAGGACGAUCGAUCCUAUUUUGUUGGUUUCUAGGAUUGACGUA